rnacentral:rRNA from 1 species
UACGUAGGGCGCGAGCGUUGUUCGGAAUUAUUGGGCGUAAAGAGCUCGUAGGCGGCCUGUCGCGUCAAUUGUGAAAGCCCGGGGCUCAACCCCGGAAUUGCCUUUGAGACUGCAUCGCUAGAAUUGUGGAGAGGUAAGUGGAAUUCCGAGUGUAGAGGUGAAAUUCGUAGAUAUUCGGAAGAACACCAGUGGCGAAGGCGACUUACUGGACACAUAUUGACGCUGAGGUGCGAAAGCGUGGGGAGCAAACAGG